AUCAUGCUCCGUGCUGAGCAUGGAGCUGCCUCAUAUCCUCUCUCUCUCCCUCUGCCCCUCUCCCCUACUCAUGUUCUCUCUGUUGCUAAAAUAAAACAAUUUAAAAAAAUUAAAGAGAAGGUAUUAUCCACUGUGGGAUUGUUGUGACAACUAGCCAAAACUCUUUGUAAAUGGCUGCUUAAUUAUUAUAGAGAGAGGGUCUAAAUGAUGACUCAGCAAGGUCUAAAUUCAAAACCCCAUUUCUACCACAUAAUCUCUAGGUAAGACUUUAGGACACUUUCUUACCCUUUAGAUACUCAAGUGUCCUCUUUCUGAAAAAUGACUUUCAUCUUGUAUAUUGAUUGUAAGAAUUAGUGGAAAUGCAGAUAACAUGCCUAGCACAGUUUCUGGUGUAUGCCAGAUACCCAAAUAUGACCGCUCCUCUUUUUAUUUCUGUAGGAUGUUGCCUUUUCUCUCCCACUAUUUAGAUGGUAAAGAGACAAUAAAGGCUCCUUGAAGGCUGGAGGCAUGCUUGCUCCUGGAUAUCUCCAGUCAUGUACUGAAUAAAUAAAAUGCAAAGAAGGAGACGAGAAUGCAGUACCUUCUGAGGUAAUUAAUGAUUCAACAUGGUGCCUUUGCAAAAUGAAAUUGAAGCGGCUGGGAGCCUCAUUUGCAGCCAUAAGAAUUCAAAGGACACAAGAAGACUGAUUUGUGAUUGUUGCUUUUCCUCAAUAAAAAUUAAACUGAUUACAAAGAGCUGACAAUGAGACAAUGUCUUGCGGAAGUAAUGUUUCUGACAUUUCGCUGAGUGUUUACCGCAAAUAUUCAAAUUUAUCAUUCUUGACAUUCUUUAGAAAAACAGAGAUAAAAUAUUAUUUUGGUCCUGCAAUAUUUGCUUGCAUGCACAUUUAUAUGCAUGCAUAAUUGAUGGAAAAUUAAAAGAUUUCUGAGCUCCCCUCAUAUUCAUUUUUUUAAAUUAAGGGCUUUGAUGAGAGAUCAUGGAAUUAAGCCCCUGGAGCUUGCACUUUGGAUAUAAAAAGCAUUUAAAGAGUGAUAUCUAUUUUCUGUAGAGAAAAUGUGCCUGUCAUUAAAACCCUGGGAUUCUUUUGUGAGUUCAACUUUUGGAGAAAAAUGAUUAACAUAAAUAAUAAUAGAUAACAUGCGUAUGGCCCUUAACAGCUUAUAGAUACGAUCUUAUUUAAGUAUUUCGAUGAUCAUUUUGAUAAUAUUACUGUCCCAUUUCACAGAUGGGACGAGAAUUCUUCCCCCUAUUUGAUAUCAGGCAAGUCCCCAACCUCUUGAGCUUCAGUUUUCUUGUCUGUAGUUGGAGCUGAUUGCCCUUGUGUCACGGGGCUACUGUCGGGAUCACGGGAUCCAAAUAAAACACAACAUGACCACU